rnacentral:RNase_P_RNA from 1 species
AGUUAGCUGGACAGUCGCUGCUUUUUAUAAGUUAUUUAUAAAAAGGGGAGGAAAGUCCGGGCUCCGCAGGGCAAAGUGCCAGGUAACGCCUGGGAGGUGAAAACCUACGGAAAGUGUCACAGAAAAUAACCGCCUAACUAACCAGUAGAGUUAGAGGUAAGGGUGAAAAGGUGUGGUAAGAGCACACCGCACGGCUGGUAACAGUUCGUGGCUGGGUAAACCCCACUUGGAGCAAGACCAAAUAGGAAUCCCAUGAGUGGCCCGCUCAGGAUUCGGGUAGGUUGCUUAAGAUGUCCAGUAAUGGCCAUCGUAGAUGAAUGACUGUCCUUGACAGAACCCGGCUUAUAGGCUAACUCUU